rnacentral:lncRNA from 1 species
UUCCUUCAUUAACAUAAAAGCAUUUCCUAACAACUGAGGAACAAUCUGUAGGGUAAUCUAAAUAGAUUAACAGAUCCCCUCCGUUGUUCUUUACAUGAGAUCCCUUUAUCACAAACACUACCUUUACUUAAGAUACUGAGUUUUUAAAAUAGAAAUAAGUGAGUAAAACUGAUAGUAAAGAUCCACAUAGGAAGGAAGGGAAACAAAGAAAGCCAUGAGCCUUUGCUCUAUGAUACUGAGGCUGAGACUCUGUAAACCACAUUUCUCAGGCUUCUUUGCCACCUGGCUCCCUGCUAGAUCCUGCCCACAGGAGGCAGUGGACUGAUGAAUGAGAGCAGAGGAGGAAGAUGUUUCAUGAGGUCCAGCUCCUUUGGGGCAUUCCUCUUGCAGCUGCCGAGAGCACCAGUCCUAGGACAACCCUUCUGUGAACUGUGACUGCCAGAUGUACCCCAAGGAUGGUCCUCAAGCAUGGCUAUGUCCCCCCACCCCCUCUACCACAAUCCCAGGCUAGGGCCUAUCCACAUGAGGCAUCUCCAAGGAAGAUUCUGGUAACACUAUCUCUUCCCUUUUGUUCUCUCAAUCCUCAAGGUAGUGGUUGCUUCUUGCCAUUACUAGUCUCUGGAUUACCUUGGUGUCCACUUUUCGUUCUUCCUUUAUUUGCAUAACCAAUUCUCUAGUAUUAAAUCUACUUCCUGAAACUUGUAGAAUGGUUUUCUGUUUGCUGACUGGACCCUGGGAGAGUAUGACAAUGAAACCAGAAGGUUAAUAAACAUGAGAAUGCACCUGUUUUGUGCCAUGUCACUGAGAUUGGUAUGGAUCUACUACUUGUGUACACUGAGGUCCAUGCACUAAAUAACCCUAUCUCCAAGGGCUAAGGCUAUUUAUUCAAAUGUUUUUUUACAAGAAGUUCAUGGUAGGCAUGGUGUGAGGGGUUAUGCAGACUCAGCCCAUAUUCUGAUUUCUCAGAACCAGUUUUAAGGAUCUGUCUUUAUUCAAGGGGCCAAAUUUUUAACACUGAUAAAGGCAAUUGCAGGAUUCUAAAAUAAGAAUACUAAAACAAAUAAAAUAAACACAAUAUUUUUACAACACAACUGGUUCAAAUAUCUUUAUUAAGAAAGGAAUCCCAUUCUUAAUGUGAAAUCUAAAAAUAGUAUAAUGGAGGCAGGAUGCCAAAGCUCGGGAAAAAUGAUUUCUAAAUGGACAUGGAACAUUUUGAAUAUAUGAAAUGUAUAAAUGUUUUUUCAGUCAAGUUCCUUUGACUUUGAGAAGAUGUGCAAAGAAAGAUGGAAAUAAUCUUGUAAGGGGAGAUUGUACCUUUACUCAAAUUAACAUCCAAGAAAGGAAACUCAACCUAUAAAGGGCACACAUUAACACAUUCUAAUGCUGCCCAACUCCUCUUUCAUAAAAACAGUAUAUGUUACAUCUAAUGAAAUCUUACUAUAAAAAUUAAAUGUUUAAUGAUUUGCCAAAAGUAUUUCCAAUCUCUGUGGACUUUGAGCCCCACUGUUGAGUAGAGUUUGCAGCACAGAGACAAACUUACAUCAGACCAGUAAAAACUAAAGCUUUCCACUUAAAGGAUCCAUUCCCUCAAACAAUGGUCCUGUCUAAUCCUUGUACAAAGUCCAGGGAGAGAGGGCUUUGGCUGAUAAGAAUGUGACCAUCCUUGUGUGUGUGUGUGUGUGUGUGUGUUGUGUGUGCAGCAAACAAUCAACCAUCCCAUUCCUUGGCUGAUUCUCCAUCUCCUUCUGCUCAGUGUCCCAUGGAGCUGCCCUAGGAGGAACUACCCUUCCCUCAAGCUGAUAUGAUUAUUCUGCUCACCAUCAUGGUUUUAGUUCUUAUCGGAAGUCAAUAAAUUUGCACUGAUAUUUUACACAUCAGCUUGGUAAUCUGGAAUUAUUGGAGUCCAUCUCUGAAAAAUAAAACUACCUUUCUUAUAAUCACAAAAUGUUUCUGAGCCACGAGGCUAAGGGGCAGAUCCUGGAUUACAUAAAGCAAUGAUUCUCAAAGUGUGGUCCUUGGAUCAGAAGUAUCAACAUCAUCUGGGACUUGUUAGAGUUGCAAAUUCCUGGGCCCAACCCCAAAUCUCUUGAGUGAAGGGGGUGAAGGCCAGCAUUCUGUUUUAACAAGCGCUCCAGGGGAUUCUGAUGUCUGCUCAAGUUUGAGAGCCUUCAAAUUGAAAUGACAUAGUUAUUUGAGGGUGGGUAGGGAACGGAUAGUUAACUUUAGAUGUCGACUUGGCUAGGCCAUCGUGCUCAGUUACUUGGUCAAAUGCUAGUCUAGAUGUUGUUAAUAGAGGUAUUUUUUAGAUGAUUAACACUUAAAUUCAUGGACUGUGAGUAAAGCAGAUUAAUUACCCUCUAUAAUAUACUAGGCCUCACUCAUCCAAACAGCUGAUGGACGCAGGGAAAAGAUUGAGGUCCCCAAUAGAAAAAAGGAACUCUUGCCUCCAGACUGACUUUGGACUUAAGACUUCAACUCUUGUUGAAAUUUCCAGCCUGCCAGCCUGCACUAUUGAUUUGAGACUUGUCAAUCCCAGCAAGAGCCAAUUCCUUAACAUAAAUCUCUCUUUCUCUCUCUCUUUCUCUCUCUCUCUCACACACACACAAACACACAAACAUACACACACCUAUUGGUUUUGUUUAUCUGGAAAACCCUAACACAGGUUUAAUGUGUGUGUACAUUAGACUAGGAUUCUCUUUUCCAGUACUGUAUGCUUCAGUGCCUACAAUGUAGUAGGUUCUCUAUAUUUUUGAUGUAUGUAUGAACUGUGGUAAGCCCACUGAGAAAAGGAAGUGGAUAAUUUGCCCCUGUGAGGGGGCUCUUGGAAAACAGUCAACCCUGAGGACACCUCCCCUAAAUUCCUGUGAGCAAUAAACGUCUCCUCAGGAAUCUUCUAGAGUGUAUAGAUAACCAACAGGAAAUCAUAUUCAGGAACUGUAUUUAGUAUUUCUGAGUUUAAUUUCUUAUAAAUGAAAGGAUGCUCAGCACUCAGCAGGCUAUUCUUAAGAUUCCGUUCUAUCCACAGGACCCACUGUUUUAAGUGGCAUGAGUGCAGUGACUGCAUCUUGUCAUUUCUGUUAUGCCUUAUAAUCUACAGCAUGAUUUUAGAGUAGAUUCUUAUCACUACAUUGUUUUUUCUGAAAAGAGUGAAACUGAAAACCUAGUCUCACAUACUGUUACUUUUAGUGUUUGCCCCAAUACAUUAACCUAAAGAAUGUACUUUCCUGAGUGAUAAGAACAGAACACAUGGACGAGGAUGCUCCCCGCCACAUCUCAGUUAGACGCUCAGCAGAGGCAGCUAAGGACAGAGGCACAGCUUAGUCUCUAGGCUGAAUGGAUUGUUUCUGAGGGUCAAAAGUCAUCUUGAUCAGACUAUUUGAAAAGUCUGGGAUGGUCAUUCUAUCUGCCACAUGAAAUCAGAAAAAAUAAACAUUCUUUGGCUCACCUCCACCCUUGCCUUCUGAAGACCAAGUCAAAUUGCUUUGAAAAUAU